GUGAGCUUCUUGUUGACUUUGGUCAUGAACAUGGAGUUCGUGGAGAUUUUGAGUGCUUACGUCCUAGAGAAAAUUUGAUGGAUGUUGUAAGUACCUACUUCAUUUAUAUCAAAUGCGUGCUAUAUUAGUUAAAUAAAUUUAUUGAAGUUAUUGUUCAACAACAGGUAAUAAAUCUAGAAGCCUCAAAGCUAAAUUAUUUUGAAAGACAAUUCAUAGGCAUACGAAGUAUGAGAUGCUAUCUUCCCACGACAUUUUCAGUAAGCUCAUAUUUCUCUUGUUGUUUACUUACAUAUUAAGUACAAUAUACUAAUGUUCGUAUUAUGUUUUCUUAUUAGCAAAUGAUUUUGUGCGGGAGUCCUCAUCCUUUUUUCGAUAGAAAAACAUCCAUCGUGAGUAAGUACAUUAGCGAAUUGGAUGAUUGCGAGAAGGUUAGUAAUUAUUUGUAAUGUUUAAUUGCAUAUAUGAAAUUUAGAGUAGAUAUCGUUUUCACCUAUAAUAUACUAUAUUUUUUGUGGCCCAAUUCAUAUAUAUUGUUUUCCUACCUUUACAGCUAUUUAUUCCAAUGCAUGACGAUUGCCCUGGUCAUUGGUAUCUGUGCGUCAUUGACUUCAAACACUUUGAUAUCCAAAUUUUGGAUUCAUUAUGAUCGAAGAGUCGGGACGAGUUCCGGUUUAAGAGUGUCAAAAUAGUGGUUGAAUUUUGUCAAACGUUCUUCAAACUGUAUGACAUAGGGAAAGAUGUCUUCCAAUUCUCCAUUGAUUGGGCUCCUUCGAUUCCGACCCAAGAUAAUGGGUGGGACUGUGGAGUGCAUGUCAUUAGACAUAUGCAGAGAUUCAAAAAUGGUGAUUCGAUGACGAGCUCCGACUUUUGUAAUUCUGUUAAAAUACGUCGAGAAAUAGCAUGUGAUUUAGUUUUACACGAGGGAAAUAGAGAAAAACAAACCAUUGUGGCUAUUGUUUGUACAAAGAUGUCGACACGAGCAAUGAAAAAAUUAUUAUUAUGAUA